rnacentral:rRNA from 1 species
UACGUAGGGUGCAAGCGUUAAUCGGAAUUACUGGGCGUAAAGCGUGCGCAGGCGGUGAUGUAAGACCGAUGUGAAAUCCCCGGGCUUAACCUGGGAACUGCAUUGGUGACUGCAUUGCUAGAGUAUGGCAGAGGGGGGUGGAAUUCCACGUGUAGCAGUGAAAUGCGUAGAGAUGUGGAGGAACACCGGAUGGCGAAGGCAGCCCCCUGGGCCAAUACUGACGCUCAUGCACGAAAGCGUGGGGAGCAAACAGG